rnacentral:piRNA from 3 species
AGUGACGCGCAUGAAUGGAUGAA